rnacentral:rRNA from 1 species
GAUCAUGGCUCAGGAUGAACGCUAGCUACAGGCUUAACACAUGCAAGUCGAGGGGCAGCGGGAUUGAAGCUUACUUCAAUUGCCGGCGACCGGCGCACGGGUGAGUAACGCGUAUCCAACCUUCCGCUUACUCGGGGAUAGCCUUUCGAAAGAAAGAUUAAUACCCGAUGGUAUCUUAAGCACGCAUGAGAUUAAGAUUAAAGAUUUAUCAGUAAGCGAUGGGGAUGCGUUCCAUUAGG